GGAUUGACCAGAAAUUUUGUUCAGAUUUUUCGGUAAGAUGCUGCAGAAAAACCUGAACAAACUUUUUGGCCAACCCAGUAUCUUGA
rnacentral:miRNA from 1 species